AUUGAACGCUGGCGGCAUGCCUUACACAUGCAAGUCGAACGGCAGCGCGGGGCAACCUGGCGGCGAGUGGCGAACGGGUGAGUAAUAUAUCGGAACAUACCCUAGAGUGGGGGAUAACGUAGCGAAAGUUACGCUAAUACCGCAUACGCACUAAGGUGGAAAGUGGGGGAUCUUCGGACCUCAUGCUCAUGGAGUGGCCGAUAUCUGAUUAGCUAGUUGGUGAGGUAAAGGCUCACCAAGGCGACGAUCAGUAGCUGGUUUGAGAGAACGACCAGCCACACUGGAACUGAGACACGGUCCAGACUCCUACGGGAGGCAGCAGUGGGGAAUUUUGGACAAUGGGGGCAACCCUGAUCCAGCAAUGCCGCGUGAGUGAAGAAGGCCUCGGGUUGU
rnacentral:rRNA from 1 species